rnacentral:rRNA from 1 species
UACGUAGGGGGCAAGCGUUGUCCGGAUUUAUUGGGCGUAAAGAGCGUGUAGGCGGCUAGAUAGGUCCGUUGUGAAAACUCGAGGCUCAACCUCGAGACGUCGAUGGAAACCAUCUGGCUAGAGUCCGGAGGAGGAGAGUGGAAUUCCUGGUGUAGCGGUGAAAUGCGCAGAUAUCAGGAAGAACACCCGUGGCGAAGGCGGCUCUCUGGUACGUGACUGACGCUGAGACGCGAAAGCGUGGGGAGCGAACAGG